CUACGUGCCAGCAGCCGCGGUAAUACGUAGGGUGCGAGCGUUAAUCGGAAUUACUGGGCGUAAAGCGGGCGCAGACGGUUACUUAAGCAGGAUGUGAAAUCCCCGGGCUCAACCUGGGAACUGCGUUNUGAACUGGGUAACUAGAGUGUGUCAGAGGGAGGUAGAAUUCCACGUGUAGCAGUGAAAUGCGUAGAGAUGUGGAGGAAUACCGAAGGCGAAGGCAGCCCCUUGGGAAUGUACUGACGCUCAUGUGCGAAAGCGUGGGGAGCAAACAGGAUUAGAUACCCUGGUAGUCCACGCUGUAAACGAUGUCGAUUUGGGGGUUGAGCUUUGAGCUUGGCGCCCGUAGCUAACGUGAUAAAUCGACCGCCUGGGGAGUACGGCCGCAAGGUUAAAACUCAAAUGAAUUGACGGGGGCCCGCACAAGCGGUGGAGCAUGUGGUUUAAUUCGAUGCAACGCGAAGAACCUUACCUACUCUUGACAUCCAGA
rnacentral:rRNA from 1 species